rnacentral:rRNA from 1 species
CACGUAGGGCGCGAGCGUUGUCCGGAAUUAUUGGGCGUAAAGGGCGCGUAGGCGGUUCGUACAGUCAGACGUGAAAUUCCUGGGCUCAACCUGGGGGCUGCGUUUGAUACGUGCGGACUUGAGUGCGGAAGAGGGUCGUGGAAUUCCCAGUGUAGAGGUGAAAUUCGUAGAUAUUGGGAAGAACACCGGUGGCGAAGGCGGCGACCUGGUCCGAUACUGACGCUGAGGCGCGAAAGCGUGGGGAGCAAACAGG